rnacentral:sRNA from 1 species
CUAAAUCUUGCAUACGAUUGAGACAAACAAAAAAGAUGUAAAAUUAGUAUAGGAACUGAAAAGAAGUUGUUUUUGACGUAUACAACCAUUUUUGUUUGAUCCAAAAUCUAAAUGUUUGAGAACUUAUGUGAGAUCUACAUAUACAUUUUUGCAGUCACUUUGUAAAAUAAAUCAUGAAGUUGAGACUUAUUUACAACUCAAUGCCACUGACAUUAAAUCUUUU